GGGGAUGUAUCGUUUCGACAAGGUCGCACUUUGACAAACUGCAAGCCGAAUAUGAGCCUAAAGCGCGUCAGGCUUUGGUUUAAAAAUACGUGCAAAAAACAAACUUGCACAAGGGAUUGCGUUUUUGAGGAACGCCUUUAAGGUUGUUCCGAGCGCAGCUCCAGCUCUCGCUUUUGCCUAACAAUUUUAGGUAGAAGCCUUAGGGCUUGUCCUUAAAGUUUUUUCUCGGUGAGACUUUUUGGGCAACAACUUAGCCGGGAUUAGUUGCAACCAGUGAUCAUGAUUGUGAUGAAACUUUGAUCUUUGUUUUGGUCUUGCCUGCUUAUUGGCUAGAGACCAAAACGAGAUUUUGUAAAUAAGCUAAGCUUGUAGAUGUUUUCGGAAUGUAAUCUUGGACCCGGGCCCAAUACCCGGCAUCUCCACAC
rnacentral:tmRNA from 1 species